GAUAUUUUUAAGUCUCCGCAUCUUUCUUACUUUCCUAUAUGAAAAUAAAAUGUAAGUAUCACAAUUACACACAUACAAGUUUUUUUUUUUAAUUCAGUUUCAUAAUUACCAAUUUUUAGUGAAUAAUCCUGAAAUUUAUGAAAAUACAUACAUUUUAAGGUUAUGUCAUAAUGUUUUGAUUGUUAUAUUUGAUUUUGUUUUUGUUAUUUUAGUGGACUACACCAACAAAGGUUAUGUGUUUUGCACCAGAUUGAAAGCAUCAUAGCGAAAAACGGACCUGUCAUAUCUUUAAAUUUUCAAAAGAGCCCCUGGAAAAAGAAAAAUGAAUAUCUUUGCCAAGGAAUAGGUACUAAGGCAAAUGGAUAAAAAACCUUCAGUCCAUGCAUUGGUAUGUAAUUGUUGACAAAAAUACAAUGAAUGGCCUCACUACUUUUCCACAUGCAAAGAGGUUAACCAAGGAGAAAUUAAAGAAAUUGUCAAAAACCUAGGUAAAUACAGAAUUGCUUAGUACAAACAUAUCUAUACCCAGUACAAGUUCGUCCACUUCUUUGAAGCAUGGUACUUCAAACAGAAACACUGUCAACAAUUUUGUAGAAGGUGAGCCGGUGUCAAAUUCCAGUAAGGGACAUGAUUUCAAUUUUGCACCAACAGCAGAGCUAAAAUUCAUUUUGCCGCAAAAAACUGGAGGAUGUGAAAGAAAAAAGUGCAGAAGUUAAAAUUAAGUUUUUCAUAUGAGCACAUAAAAAAUAAUCAUGACAAAGUUCAGUUGUAUACAGGUUUGACAUGUAAUAAAUAUUUUUGUAAUCUUAUUAAGUUAAUUAGUUUUAUAUAUUAUUUAAAUAAUAAUUGAAUACUUCACAUAGAAUAUGCAGAAAUUAUAUGUACAUAUAUAAAUUUUUUUAUUAAGAUAAGGACAACAUGUAUUAAAGCAUAACACAUAAUAUAAACACACACGUAAUAUCUUCAUUAAAAAUUAUGAUUGUAUGUUAUGUAGCAUUAGAGCCUAAAAACAUUAAGGAGAAUAAAGGUCGUUAUUGGCAAA